ensembl:piRNA 21ur-8909 ncRNA
UAUGAACUUAGGUACAACCAA